CAUAAAAAUAGAAAUAAAAAAUAAUAAUAUAAUAUUCUAUUAAAGUGAAUUCAAAAUUGUUUUCUUUUCUUUCUUUUUUAUUGCUUAUCUUGAAUUAAAUUGGAAGAAUAGUAUUUCAUUCUCUGUAUUAAAAGAUAUGCCUUAUUUAUGGUAGAAGCUUCCUUCUGAAGAAUACGUUACAAGAUUACAAAACAAAAGCAAAUAGAAACAUGAAACUUAAAACACGGUGCGUAUUAAUAAAAUGUAUAGAGUUAAAUAUAUCGUAACAAAAUCAAUAAGGCAACGCUUGCAGAUCAAAGAAAGAUUAAAAAAUGUGGAAUGCAAUGUCUAAAAUGAAUUUAUAUAAGAAAUGAAACAAGAUUACAGCGAGAGAAAUCUUGUCUAUGACAAGUUGGCAUGUGAGAUUGGAUUCUAAAAAAUUGAAUUACCAUUCAACAAAAUAUAAUAGCUUUUAGAAAGUACGAGGAUCUAUCCGUGGAGACGUACUAUAGAGAUUAGAGACACAUGCAUCAUUCAGACAGGCAUAUAACAGGACUUUUGUAAGUGAUUUGAUUUUAAAUCAAUACAUAUAUACUUGUUAAGUAUCACAUGGACAGUAAUAUUAUUCAUUGUUCUACAUAUCAUGUUCUUAUACAUAAAAACUAGAAAUGUUUAUUAAUUAAUUAAUUUAAUUAAACAUAUCCCACUACCAAUAUGAUACGGAAUUUAUUUGUGCAAAUUGAAAAAUUGUUAUUGCGUUAGGGAUGAAUAAUGCCAGAUGAAUAAUAGCCAUGAGAUAAUGUAGUACUUACUAGAUUUCCUAUAAUUAGAAAUAAAUGAAAUUAAAAAUGUGUUGAUCGAAUAUAUGCCUACAAGAUACUAGUUCUGGACGAGAUACGAAUAAACUAAAGGAGCUCGCCUUGAGCUCGCGCAUGUAGCCGAUACAAUCACCGCAACGUAAUGAAUGAUGACUAAUGUUUGGAUCAUCAAUUCAAUGACAUUUGAUGUACAUGGCACGUGCAUUUGUUUUUCGCGCGUAUAA